rnacentral:rRNA from 1 species
AGAGUUUGAUCCUGGCUCAGGACGAACGCUGGCGGCCCGCCUAACACAUGCAAGUCGAACGAGCGAGAGAGAGCUUGCUUUCUCAAGCGAGUGGCGAACGGGUGAGUAACGCGUGAGGAACCUGCCUCAAAGAGGGGGACAACAGUUGGAAACGACUGCUAAUACCGCAUAAGCCCACGACCCGGCAUCGGGCAGAGGGAAAAGGAGCAAUCCGCUUUGAGAUGGCCUCGCGUCCGAUUAGCUAGUUGGUGAGGUAAUGGCCCACCAAGGCGACGAUCGGUAGCCGGACUGAGAGGUUGAACGGCCACAUUGGGACUGAGACACGGCCCAGACUCCUACGGGAGGCAGCAGUGGGGAAUAUUGCACAAUGGGGGAAACCCUGAUGCAGCGACGCCGCGUGGAGGAAGAAGGUCUUCGGAUUGUAAACUCCUGUUGUUGAGGAAGAUAAUGACGGUACUCAACAAGGAAGUGACGGCUAACUACGUGCCAGCAGCCGCGGUAAAAAGUAGGUCACAAGCGUUGUCCGGAAUUACUGGGUGUAAAGGGAGCGCAGGGGGGCAAACAAGUUGGAAAUGAAAUCCAUGGGCUCUACACCCAUGAACUGCUUUCAAAAUUGUUUUUCUUGAGUGGCGCGGAGGGUAGGAAGGAAUUCCCCGGAAAACCAGGUGAAAAGAGUAAAAUAUAGGGGAGGGAACACCAGUGGGGGAAGGGGGGGCUUUAUGGGCACCCAACUGAACGGCUGAGGCUCGAAAGUGUGGGUAGCAAACCAGGAUUAGGAUACCCUGGUAGUCCACACUGUAAAAACGAUGAUUUACUAGGGUGUUGGGAGGAUUGACCCCUUCAGUGCCGCAGUUAACACAAUAAGUAAUCCACCUGGGGAGUACGACCGCAAGGUUGAAACUCAAAAGGAAUUUGACGGGGGCCCGCACAAGCAGUGGAGUAUGUGGUUUAAUUCGACGCAACGCGAAGAACCUUACCAAGUCUUGACAUCCUGCGACGGACAUAGAAAUAUGUUUUUCCUUCGGGACGCAGAGACAGGUGGUGCAUGGUUGUCGUCAGCUCGUGUCGUGAGAUGUUGGGUUAAGUCCCGCAACGAGCGCAACCCUUAUGGUCAGUUACUACGCAAGAGGACUCUGGCCAGACUGCCGUUGACAAAACGGAGGAAGGUGGGGAUGACGUCAAAUCAUCAUGCCCUUUAUGACUUGGGCUACACACGUACUACAAUGGCGUUAAACAAAGAGAAGCAAGACCGCGAGGUGGAGCAAAACUCAGAAACAACGUCCCAGUUUGGACUGCAGGCCGCAACUCGCCUGCACGAAGUUGGAAUUGUUAGUAAUCGCAGAUCAGCAUGAUGCGGUGAAUACGUUCCCGGGCCUUGCACACACCGCCCGUCA